rnacentral:rRNA from 1 species
AACGAACGCUGGCGGCAUGCCUAACACAUGCAAGUCGAACGAGACCUUCGGGUCUAGUGGCGCACGGGUGCGUAACGCGUGGGAAUCUGCCCUUGGGUUCGGAAUAACAGUUGGAAACGACUGCUAAUACCGGAUGAUGACGUAAGUCCAAAGAUUUAUCGCCCAAGGAUGAGCCCGCGUAGGAUUAGCUAGUUGGUGAGGUAAAGGCUCACCAAGGCGACGAUCCUUAGCUGGUCUGAGAGGAUGAUCAGCCACACUGGGACUGAGACACGGCCCAGACUCCUACGGGAGGCAGCAGUGGGGAAUAUUGGACAAUGGGCUAAAGCCUGAUCCAGCAAUGCCGCGUGAGUGAUGAAGGCCUUAGGGCUGUAAAGCUCUUUUACCCGGGAUGAUAAUGACAGUACCGGGAGAAUAAGCUCCGGCUAACUCCGUG